CCUACGGGAGGCUGCAGUGAGGAAUAUUGGUCAAUGGACGAGAGUCUGAACCAGCCAAGUAGCGUGAAGGAUGACUGCCCUAUGGGUUGUAAACUUCUUUUAUAUGGGAAUAAAAUGUUCCACGUGUGGGAUUUUGUAUGUACCAUAUGAAUAAGGAUCGGCUAACUCCGUGCCAGCAGCCGCGGUAAUACGGAGGAUCCGAGCGUUAUCCGGAUUUAUUGGGUUUAAAGGGAGCGUAGGUGGAGUGUUAAGUCAGGUGUGAAAGUUUGCGGCUCAACCGUAAAAUUGCAGUUGAAACUGGCAGUCUUGAGUACAGUAGAGGUGGGCGGAAUUCGUGGUGUAGCGGUGAAAUGCUUAGAUAUCACGAAGAACUCCGAUUGCGAAGGCAGUUCACUGGACUGCAACUGACACUGAGGCUCGAAAGUGUGGGUAUCAAACAGGAUUAGAUACCCGAGUAGUC
rnacentral:rRNA from 1 species